ensembl:misc_RNA 7SK 7SK RNA
GGAUGUGAGGGCGAUCUGGCUGCGACAUCUGUCACCCCAUUGAUCGCCAGGGUUGAUUCGGUUGAUCUGGCUGGCUAGGCGGGUGUCCCCUUCCUCCCUCACCGCUCCAUGUGCGUCCCUCCCGAAGCUGCGUGCUCGGUCGAAGAGGACGACCUUCCCCAAUAGAGGAGAGGACCGUUCUUUGGUCAAGGGUAUACGAGUAGCUGCGCUCCUCUGCUAGAACCUCCAAACAAGCUCUCAAGAAUUAGCAUCCAAAAUAUAUAGAGAACUCAUGAAACUAAAUUUUUAAAAAUCUGAUUAAAAAUGGACAUGAGCAAAAAAAAAAAAAAAAGGGCAAAGAAAAGAUGCUCAACAUC